UGAGGGCAGGGCCCUGGGUGUCCCCAGCAGUUGUGGUGUUGAAGGCGAGGCCAGGAACAGUCAGCACUUACACAUGCUGGUGCUGACAACCAAGAUCAAAGACAAACACCCGCAAGGCUGUCAGAGCAAAAUCAGCCUGCAGGGAGGCACGACGGCCGGGGGUGGGGGAGCCUCCUCUUUCCAGGCCUGUCUUCUGUGCGGCCUUCCGUCUGCUGCCCUUUCCUCUGUCUGACCGUCCACUGAAGCCACCUUGGGGUCUCAGAGGAGAGCAGGGGGAAGACACAGUGAGGAUUAGGGAGACUUACUCAGGGGCCAGGCUCCCGAACUGUGAGGCCAGGCAUCACCUCUGUGAGGCAAAACCAGGACGGGGACCGUUGUUCCAAAAGUUGGUCCUCGCUUUAAUCCAUGGGCCGCUCGGAAUUUCUGUGAAGGACUGACAGGUCUGAUGCCAGACCCUGCCCCUGACUUGCCAGGCCACUUCCAGGGAAAAGCAGGGCUCUCUCGGUUCCUGAGGGUGCAUCUGUCUAAAGGGUGCUCUGGCCGCAUGUGCUGUGCAUGGGCCCGCGGUGCCCGGAUGCCAGGUGCAAAGGCCACUCCACUGCCUGACAGCUGGGCCCUCCAGGUCAUGGUUUGUUCAGCUUGGGGCAUCCUGUGCCACUGGCUUCAGAAUGACCCUUGUAGCAUCUCAGCUGGCCCGCCAGAGAUGGCCAUGCUUCUCAUUUGGACCCCCUUUCCUCCUUCGGGGGCGGGACUCUUUCGUUCAUUCAGUCCUUCCUUCGUAGGACAGAUACAUACUACAGAGCUACUGUGCUCAAGGUCGUGACGGGCCACCACACACAUCUGUGAGCAAGGGAAGUCCCCAUCUUCAUGGUGUCUUCAUCCUGGCUGGGGAGACGGGCAGAUGGAUGUGGGCCAGCCCAUCCCACGAAGAACUUUGGCGUAAGAUGCUGACUGCAGCAACGAAGGGGAGGGACAGAUCGGCGAGGUAGCUCACGACAGGAAAGAUGAUUUGUCUGCAGGGGAGGUGAGGUGCCCUUGGAUUUGCUGCUUCACCCCCAGAGCCUCGCCUGUGGAACGGGCUUCACGGGGUUGCUCUGAGAAGUGGGUAAAAUAAUGUGUGUGGAAAGACACUCUGACAAGCGUUGGCUCCUUCCAAGCUCUCCCGUGUCCCCGGUAAUCCGGCAUCGGAUCCGUUUUCUGCCCUCUCUUUCGGAUGAACUGAUUUCACAGUCCAGCCUUGCCUGGGCAAAUGGGAAAAACCCAUUGUGAAAGCAACUGGCCUUCAAACCAUUUUCUUGGGAGGGAGGUGGAGAGCCCACGUGCAUCCGGAUCCUUCAGUGCGGUCUCACCGCUAAAUCCAGCGUCCUGCAAUGGCCUGGAAAGACCGCCUGGAAAAUGGCGGGGACAAGUUCCGAACCUCCUUCCAUGUGUGCUGCGUGCCUGAGGCUGCUCUGCCCUCCGGCCACGGCUCCUCGGUGCUCCGUCUACGGAGAAAGAUUUAAAAGACUCAGGAAAUGAACUCACAUUUUUCUUGCCUCCCCCUCCUUUUCCAGAACAGUGCAGCCUUCCUGGAAGAAAGCAAACAAAACAAGUGUGGCUAUUUAAAAAAUCAUUGGAAACCCCGUUGCGAACACUGUGUCUUUGGGUGGCUCCCUGGGGCGCAUGCGUCCCCUGAAGCUCCCAGUGGCCAUCACCCCAUGGGUGUAUCUGUGCGGAGGGGGCAGGGCAGCCGUGUGGUCUCAAAGGAAGAGGGGGCCGGCAGGCAGAGCGGGCCCGACGAACGGGCCCCCCCAAAGCAGCCAUGUGCACCUGACACGCGCAGACGGCGGACACAGACACGACGCGAGUCCCCCGUGUGUGCGGCCGCGUCUCCCCCUGAAACCAGAGAUUCGUCCGCCCGCCCCCCAAGUGCCGGCGACUUCUGCCCUGCAUGCGGGUGACUAUUUUGGGUUUCUAGGUGCUCUCGUUUGGUUUGUGGCAUUCUUGGUGCUGUUAUUAAUAACACCGUUGGCUGCGUGGAGGCUGAAGACGAAGCCUUUUCAUUUCAGCCAUCUGGUCAGGACGCUUUUCCUUUGAUGAGGGAGAAACCUUUGCUGUGUUUCAACUGGAACGCUGCCUCCCAAUUAAGGUGACAGCAGAUGCCGCACGGCCCCGUCUUUGCAGGAAUAGGAUGCUCAGCCAGGCUCUAAGCGGCGGCUCCGUCCGGGAGGGAGAAGGCCGUUCAUAUUGAUCGUGCUCGGGCAUGUGGCGCAGGUACCGGCUCGCAGGGCCCUGGCCAGGAAAGCUGCCACGAGGUGUUUACCGGCUGGCUUGGCUCUGCGCUCAGCUUUUCCAUUGUCAGGCCGUGACAGCGAUGCGUUACAGACACCCUCAGGAGACGUUCCUCCGCUUUCAUAACAAUGAAGGGCUUUUUUUUUUUUUUUCUGACUCAUCUUCAGAAGAUUCCCCCCCCCCUUCUUCGUUUGAAAAUAAAUAUAAUUAGUAACAGGCAGACGCACUGUAUAUAGCCAGCCCUUCCUAUCCGGGAGAGUUAUAAUUAAAUGUACAUGCUGUCUGUUGUUCUCUGUCUGCUGAGCGCCUUGCCACCCGCUCUAGGGGAGCAGCAGCCCGUGGGAGGGGGCUGCAGGGAGCGAGGCCUGUCGGGGCUCCGAGCCCUGCGUCCGGCCAGAAGCGGAGACUCGCUGUUGACUGAACGGCAGACGGGACCGUUGUCCCCUCGCACCGCCCAGGCCGGGGUUUUGCCCCCUGCUCAGCCUCGAGCUGCCCUGGGAGGCCCCCGGAUGUGCCUGGUCACUGCUGGGGCGGUCCCCCCCCCUCCCUGGCCCCUCCCAGGAGCAGAGGGAGGGUAGCCAGGUACGGUUGUCAUGGCAACGUGGUGGCCACUGCCGGCUGCCGCCGGUGAGGGGCACCUGAGCACCUGCAGGUUAAGAUCGGCUCUGGCCAGGCGAGGAGUCAAGACAGCGUUCCUUUGUUCCCGGCUCCCUGCCUGCGAGGCUGGCACCGGGGCGGCCGUCCCCGCCCCUGCGGCCUGAGCUCAGACAGGUUAUCCCCAGGUAACCCUCAGCUCGCCUUCCUGACAAGCAGGCGGGCUGGGCGUCCGAUGGCCUCCGUCCAGGCCCAUGGAGAGCUCAUAUUCUGCUGAAAUCAGUGGGUCAGACAGGCCGAGGAAUGCGCACGCACACACACACACACACACACACACACACACACACACACCCACCCUCCUGGGCAUAUUCUGGGACCACAGCACGGCCAACAGGCUCGGUGACACAGGAGAGGCUGCCGCGCCUCCUGCCUCCUGUCCCUCCCGUCCCUCGGGCAGCCAAGGUGGUGACCGGAUGCCUGGUUGGCACAGCCCGCCCUCCCCCCCCCCCCCCCCCCCCCCCCCGCCUGGAUCGAGUGCAGCAGGAGUCAUCUGAGCCACAGGCACCUUUACCCAAGUUGCUCAAAGUGUUUUCCGAGCAAACAGUUGUUUCAUAACACCCGUGAGAAGUAGGUGGGGUGACAAAGCAUUCUCUGUCCCUGUCUUACGGAUGGGGAGAUUGAAAAGCUUGCCCAGCCAGGUGGCGAGGCCAGGAACGGAAAGAGGGUGCUCUCUCGCCCGGGGCUCUGGGGCACGGAGGGCCGGUGGGUGCCCUGUCCCUAACUCCUGGGGCAGGGGGUCCUGGGCAGCGUGGGGAGGCCCUUUGGAGAAGGAGGCUAGAAGUGGGGGAGGGUCAGCCUUCUCCCACAGCACUGAGGGGCCGCCAGGAGCUCAGUUACUGUCCUUGGUCUGAGGUGUUGACACCGGUGACCCGGGAGGCGUCCUUUGGCUUAAAGUUGCGGGACUCUCGGAGGUGGUCCGCAGACCCCUGUGCCGCCCCAGGGAUUGUUCCAGGCACCAGGGGUACGUGGCGAGUGGGGACACGUGGCCUUUGGCCUGAGGAGCUUGUAGGAGACAGAUCACCGACACAUAACAUUAAGAAGAAGUAAUUUCGGAGGGUGCCAGGUGCUAUGAGGAAAGUGCAGAUACUGUGACGGACAGAGAUUGGCUGGAGGGGAGGGUGGGGGAGAGGGGCAGCUUUAGAGAGGAAUCAGAGAAGGAGUCUCCAUGGGCUAAUCCCAAAUGAGGAGAAGGAGUCAGACCCGGGGCCGGCAUUCCAGAGGGAGGGACAGCUGUGCAGGGGCCCCGAGAGGACGGUGAGGGUGGCCUGUCCCAAGGUGAAGGAGAAGGACGCUUCUCCUGGAUGAUGGGAAGAGGGGGUGUGCAGGGACCUGGUCACGGGCCAGGGGACCAGGUGUGAUUCUGGAUGCAAGGGGGUGGUGCAGGAGUCAGGACCUCCUGGGGAGGUAGCACGGACACCCUUUUGUGAGGGACUCGAUGUGGGGCGUGAAGGAUGAUUUCUAGGCGUUUGCUUGAGCUGGAGGACAGGGCCAUGGACUAAGGCGGGGAGACUGAGGAAGACGCAUGGACGGGAGACACAAAGGAUGGUCUUGGACAUGGGGAGUUGGAGAUGCCUGCUUCCAGGUGGCUACUUCUGGGGCUUGGGCAUCUGUGUUUCUUGAGCGCUUCCUCUCAGACCAUGGAGAAGGAGGGUGGGUCGUACAGCAGGAGUUCUGAAUUCACCUGACCCUUCCAGUGCUCAAACCCAGUCUUUUUCAAGGAGGAUCAGGCUCCUGAUCUCCAAGCUGCAGCGGGGCUCUGUCACUGUGGGUUUAUGACGUGGGGAGCAGACCAGCCUGGGGUUGCUCUACAGUCAGACCCCCUUCUUGGUGGGUGCCUGAAACUGCAGACAGUACCAAACCCUAUAUGUGUGCCAUGUUUUUCCUAUACAUAUGUAUGAUAUGUUUAAUUUACAAAUGAGGCGCAUUAAGAGAGUGACAACAAUAGCUAAUAAUCAAAGAGAACAGUUAUAACAAUAUACUGUAGUAAAAGUUAUGUGAAAGUGGUCUCUCUCUCAAAACAGCUUACUGUCCCGCACUCCUCCCUCCUCUUGUGAUGACGGGGGAUGAUCACAUGUCCACGUGAUAAGAUGAAGCGGGGUGAAUGAUGUGGGCAUUGUGACCUGGCUAUACCCCGGGAGGAUCACCUUCCCGACCACAGUUGACCGCAGGGAGCGAAACCGCAGAUAAGUUGGGGAACUUCUGUAUGUGAUGCGGUGAACAGCCUUCCGUGGACUCAACUUGCUUGUCCCUUCCCAUCCAGCCCCUUCCUUCCAUGGCCAAAUCCUUGGACAUUUACUCUUUGGCACCCUACUUUGGCUGAUCUGUUACCUGUGGGUAAGGAAGCACCUAAGUCUUGCCUGUCUUUUGACUGAUCAAAUAGAAUGGCAAAGUGAUUAGCAAUUUCUUCCGAGAAGGGGCAUUUGAGGAGGAUGGGCCCAUGUGUUCACUGACCAGAGAGGAGUCCACUAAGCAGGAGGGCUAGGAUUCUUUGUGGCCACUGACUUGGCAUGGAGCUUUGAAGAACAUGCUAGUUCUUACCCCAUAGUAUACAUUGAAAGCUACAAAAAAGAUCGCAUCAGAGAAAACAGCUCAAGCCCCCUACUGGACCCACCUACUGCCGGGUCAACUCAGAGCCAUUAGUGCAAUGGAAAUUCCGAUUCUGGGUCUCCAAGGAAUUAUUAUUAUUAUCAUAAUCAUUAUCAUUACUAUUUUUAAGUAAGCCCUACACCCAACGUGGGGCCCGAACUCACAACCGGAGAUCCAGAGUCACAGGCUCCACUGACUGAGCCAGCCAUGCGUCCCUCCGAGGAAUUAUUUUGGAGCUAAGGAUGUAUUAUAAUAUUUACGUCUGUGGGAAUUUCCUGGCGUCUCAUCGUAAAGCUUUUUGCUGUGGCAGGGGGUUCUCAUCAUGGAUUUCACACAGGAAGUUUCUGAUGUACCGAGAACAUCGUAUUAUGAGGUUGUCUUCCCGUGUCCCAGGAAUAGAUUCAGAGAUACCCGUUCUCAUACCCCAAGAACUCCUUGGGUAAAGACUCAGAAGCUCACUCAUUAUGAUCGACUUUUCAGUGGACAGACCGCUGUCACUGACGUGGUGCUUUAAAGCACACCAAGUGCCCUCAUGGCCAUUUUCUCAUUUGAUUCUGGCCACAACCUGCAACAGUACUGGCAUUUCAUCAGUGCAGACGCAGCAGCUCAGAGAAGUCAAGUCCUUCGUCCAAAGUCACUCAGCAAAGGGAGAGCUGGGGAUUAGUCCUGGUCCUCAGACCUCUCCCACUUUCCCAAGUCCCCGUCGUCCCACCUUUGGUGGCAGUGGGCCAGGGUGGUUGUGGGCCUGUGUGGGCCGAUGUCACUGUGAGUUCUGCGAGCCCGGCCCGGGAGGUGCUUGGAACUCCCCGAGCUCGCUCUCGGGAACUGGUUCUGCUCACCGAGGGCUGUGUCGCAACGUGACCAGUGGAUGAGAAGGCUGACAGCCAUUCCUUCACCAAUGUGAUUCAAGGUCAUUUGUCACCUCGGGAAGCGCACGGAGCAGCGACAUUCAGCAGGGAGGCGCGCUGCUCCGGAGCCAAGCCUGCGGUGUGGCCUGGCACCUUUCCCGUGUGGCAGGGAGAAGGGGAGCUUCUGGAAGUGAGCAAGUGCCUAGCCAGGCCCGGGAGUCCAGAGCCCUGGAGACUUUGGUCAGAGCUGACUCAGCCCCUCUUUUGAGAAAGGAACCUGAUGCAAUGUGGAGGUUGCAUCCCCAAGCUGGGGUUAGGAUGCCAGGACACAGGAGGCAUCGGCAAGAGCUGGUGACUGCCGUCGCUGGCUGAGCUUUGAGACAUGACAGGCGUCACCGGAGGGUCAGCAGCUGCCGUCCCUCUGGUGUCGCCUGAGGAAAUCAUGCUCACUGAGCUACCAGAGUGUCCUCAUAGAGACGAUCUCUCUUCCUAAUUUAGCAGGCGGUGCUUGCUUGCUUUUUCUGAAGGAGCCCAGAACUGUCCACCUACACUGCUGUCCAUCAAAGCGCCGUGUCCCAGAGGAGGAAGCCCUCACGGGUGGGGGGCCAGGCCCUGGGGUGGAGGCCUGGACGUUGUCGCCCGUGCUCUGAACAGUGCACGCCCCGGGUUGAUGGCUAAGACGGUGCCUUGUCUCACUGGGCCUUCCUUCUCACAUUGGUAACAUCGGCCUCCAUCACAGCUUCCUUUUGGGCUUUCUUGCUCAGGGGAACAGCACUGAGAUGUCCUUGUGGUUCAUGACCCAGGCCUCAGCUCAGGUGUCCCUCCCUGAGAGAAGUCUUCCUGAUAUGUGUUAGCAGGCCCCUGCCACGCUUUUUUUUUUUUUUUUUUUUUUAAUGCUUAUUUAUUUCUGAGAAAGAGAGAGAGACAGCGUGUGCAUGGGGAGGGGCAGAGAGAGAGGGAGACACAGAAUCCGAAGCAGGCUCCAGGCUCUGAGCUGUCAGCAAGGAGCCCGACGCGGGGCUCGAACUCACAGACCGCGAGAUCAUGACCUGAGCCAAAGUCAAGAGUCAGGCGCUUAACCAACUGAGCCACCCAGGCGCCCCUGGCCCCUGCCAAUCUUGAUGUUCCCCUGGGCACUUACCACUACCAGAAACUACAUAUUUGUUUGUUUGUUCCUUCUGAUUCUCCCUGUCAGUUAAACGUAAGCUCCUUGAGGGAUGGGAGCAUGCCUAGUUUAGCUCACCAUCAUACCCUCAACACCUGGCAGGGAGCUGGGUGCUAGGGACACACAGUAUCUGUCCUUGGAAGGAAGAAAUGAAUGAAUGAACGAAUGAAUGCAACCAAGUAGCUGACAUGGAUGUGGGCACCAGGAGGGACAGGCUUAAUGUUUAUUUAUUUUUGAGAGAGAGAGAUAGAACAUGAGUGCGGGAGGAGCAGAGAGAGAGGGAGACACAGAGUCUGAAACAGGCUCCAGGCUCUGAGCUGUCCGCACAGAGCCCGACACGGGGCUUGAACUCGGGAACGGCGAAAUCAUGACCUCGGCCAAAGUUGGACGCUUUACUGACUGAGCCACCCAGAUGCCCCCAGGAGGGGCAGGUUUAUACAGGCGGAUGCUCUACAAGGGCCCUCCCAGAUGCUCCCAGGUGCCACUGCCAGCAUGGCACCACUUGCGAGCUCCCGGACCCCCGUGGGCUCCUCCUGGGCUGAGCGGGAGGGGCGUCCCAAGUCGCUCAGUCAUUAUCCGAUGGAUGAGUGGGUUGUGCGGAUGAGUAAACAGCGAUGGACCGGGAGGUCAGGCAUCAUUCAGCCUCAGAAACUGCACGUGUCAAUGGGAUCGAGGAGCCCAGGAAUGUGUUUUUCGUUGAUGUAAACCUGCUGCAAUAGACCACACCUGCUUCUUGACCCAGGAACGUGGGAAAGAGAAAGGCACGGCCUGUUUUGGUGCUGGCAGAGUUGCUGGUAAUAGAAGAAUGCCCUUCUUCUGAUUCAGAGCGGGGAGGCGCUCUGGUGCCCUGCCAUUGCCUGAGGACCGCAGGGUGAGUCGUUCCGUGGCUCCUUGCCCUUCCCCAUCAACGUUCUGGCAAGUGACUUGUUCCGACAAGUACUCGCUUUUGGGAUGGAACAGCCUCUCUUUUGUCCAAAACCUUCCCCUGGAUUAAAGACGUACAAAGAACCCUUCGGAGAGGAAAAUAAUUGGGCUGGGAAGAGGGGACUGUGUCUCGUUUGGACACUCAAGUCCUUAAGCUCCUGCCCCGAGAGCUUCUGUCAUCUGCUCCUCCGGUGCCCACAGCGCACCAAGCCUUUUGGCUCCCAGCCUGGUGUGGUCUCCAUGGCUUCCUCCUUCGCAGGAGUCAGCCACAUGCCCUUGAACCUUCUUUCUUUCCUCUCCCCUGCUCCCAGUGAUCCUGCUAAGAGGACGCGGCAGUUGAGCAGCAGACUUCUGGAGCCCAGAGUCGAACCCUGCCCGGAGACCCCGACUCCAUCAGAAAAACUGUUCGGGCAUAGGAAGAAAGCAAGAUUCUGGGGAAGCACCGCUUCCGGGGCCACGGUGGUGGGACUUCUGGGAGGCCAGGGUCAGCUCUGGGGGAUUCGAGUGGUGCCAGGUGACAAGCUUCCCCCCCCACCCCUGAGUCUUGUCUCUUGUCCCAGUGGCUGCUGGUGGGAGGCGUGGCCUACCCUUUUCAGGAGUGGGAGGGCCUGCCUUGCAACACUGCGGACCAAAUACUGGUAUUACUUGGGCCAGGUAAUCAACCCCCACAGCGCUCCCGUGUGGCUGGUGCUGUCGUUACCUUGUCAUUUGUCCUGGAAGGUGAGGCUGGGCAGUGGAGCCCAUGUCCAUAGAGUGCCUGCACCGUGCUCUGCCGAGGCGGGGGGCGUUCGAUGGAUGGGGCCCACAAUGUGGACCCAACACCCCCUCACACACCCUGCACCUUCUGUGGGACUCCUCAGCUAGUGGCUGUGGGCUGGCCAUUUGGGACUCAACCCACAUACCCAGGCUUUUGUAAAUCUCCCCUUGAUCAAAUGAGCAGUUUUAUACAUGUCUUGAUUCUUUAAAAUACUUGAAAUGUUUAUUUCUUCUCGCCUCUUGUUCUUUCAAGCUUGACAUUUCUCGGCACAUCAAAGUCUUCAGAAUGCCCUCAAACUUCUGUCUCCAAAGGCGUUUCACUUGGCUCCGCGUGGUGGGAAACGCUUUUCCUUAGGGAGGUUAAAGUUUGUGUUUGGUUGUCGAGUUUGGUGGUGUUUAUAGGAACAGAUACCAAGGUGGGAAGCCUUUUUCUCAGCUGAGCGGUAAUUUAUGUUACGUGUUCAUAGAUUUCAACGAUUCCAAGUAGGGUUGGCCAGAGUCUACGUGGUGUUUGAUGUUCAGUGGUUUUAUCUUGCUGAAACCUGUUGUUUUUAUGGUUUUGAUAAAUCUUAGUGAAAUAAUUCAGUGUUGCCAAGACCCGAGGACUUUUUCCUCAGGUAGUGGGUAUACAAUCAAUCCAUGUACAUAUCAUACGGAGAGAGUUGACCAUGUUGCAUUCAGAAGGAGUUUAUCUUUCUAAAGAUCCUCUUACCUGGUCAUUUAAAAAAUAUCACCCUAGGGGCCCCUGGGUGGCUCAGUCAGUCAAGCGCCCGACUCUUGAUUUUGGCUCAGGUCACAAGCUCAUGGUUUAGUGAGUUUGAGCCCCACGUCGGGCUCUGCGCGGACAGUGUGGAGCCUGCUAGGGAUUCUCUCUCUCUCUGGCCCUCCCCACUCGCUCUGUUUCUGUCUCUCUCAAAUAAAUAAAACAUAAAUAAAUAAAUAAAAAUAUCACUUAGUUACCUAGGUAACCAUUUUCCAUAAAGGAGAACAAAACCUAGUUGUCCACUUCUUGUCCCCCUUUGUCCCAACUUAGCGCAUUACCGCUGCCCACGAGCAUCUGUGUCCGGUUCUCUCCAGGACUGAGAACGAGUUGCCUUUUCCUCUGCAGGGCCAGCCGGUCCUCAAGGCUGGCCUCCCCACACCUGAGGAGCACCCGCCCUUCACUCCCCAGGCUGUCUCACAUCCUGAGGGAAUGUACUCGGUGACCCUGCAGGACCCUGUUCUUCCGUCCCUGCGCAGCUAACUGUGCUAACGCGGGACUGAUCUGCACUCCUGCUCGUCUGGCCCUCUUCUUACUGGACAUCCAUUUCCAUGCUCACGUUUCCAGGUGCACGAUGGACACCUCCACAGGAUUGUCCCACAGAUACCUCAGAUGCAAGAAAGCGAGGAAUGAACUCACCAUCUUCCUCUCUUAAGUGCGUGCAUCUUCCAGGAUUUCCCAUGUCAGGCGGGGGUGCUACAGCCCGUCCAGAGGCCCGCGACAGGAAACCUGGUCUCUUUCUGGACUCUGCCUCACCUCCAGGUUCUAGGCCGACUAGGCGGAGUUCACCUGUCUCUUGAGUCAGCAGUGCCCCUCGCCGGCUCGGCCACCCCUGUCCAGGCCCACAGCUCUCCUGCCUGGACCACGCAGUGGCUGAUCUAUUAGUCUCCUUGCUUGCGUCUCUUCUCCCUUGACACUUUCUCCAGAUCAACGGAAGUGGGACUCUGACCACACGCUCCUCUGUAGAAAUGCCUCUGUGACUCCUGAUUCGGUGGGAAUCACGCCCAAACUCCUGUCGGGGCAUGCAAAGUUGGUUCCGUCGCCUGGGCCCCAUUUCUUGCCACUUGAGAUCUAGAAGAACUGAGCAACUUCUGUCCCCUGGCAUUUGCAUGCUGGUCAUGCCUGCGGCCUUGAUAGGUAAGGGUCCCUUUGCCAGGGACACCUCCUGACUUCUCAUCUGACAAGCUCGUAUUCAUCCUGCAAAACCCUCAAUGUCACCACAGCUUUCUCCCAAGACAGAUUCUUCCUUGAGACACAAUCAGUGGGGCUCUGCUAAAGUGCAUGCAGACCUCUGUCACUUCCCCCAUUACUCUGUUGUCAUGACUGCUCUUUGGCUGCUCUCCGCUUCCUCAGGCAGGAAGUGCUUUUGUCCCACCCACUUUCUAGCACGGUGUAUAGCAAAUAGUAGCCUCUCGAUAAAUGUGUUGAGUUGAGACCUCAAAUUAUCCUAGGGAGGUUCAAAGAAGCAUAAGUCCUUGGUUGUGGUCCACAGGCCUCUUCACAGCUAAUAAUGGUCAAAGAGAAAAACCUGACAGGGACCCAAGAGACACACAGAUCUUUUCUCCCCUUUCCCAGGGUGGUUGACCGCUCUUGAAUGUCCUUUCUUCGGACAGAAGAGCUGAGCUUGAUUUGGCUCAGUCAUUUACUGACCCUGAGCCUCCCUGGGCUUUGGGAAGGAAGCAAGGAUCCGAUAGGAUGAUGCAGCCGAGAGCCCUAAGUGAACAUUGGGGGCACUGGGGGUCUCCACGACGGUGAGCGCCUGUCCUCUCUGUGGGUGAUGCGUGAGAGUGACGUAGGCCUCCGCGCGUGCGCAGAGCUGUUUGUAGGGGCAAAAGGGCAGCCGUGGAGUCCCGGAUGCGGUUUCAGUCUGCAGUGGGUAAGGGCGGUGGCAGUUGUGUUUGUUUACCGGGGCGAUAGCCGAGGAAGGUGACAGCACUCCUUUGGGGAUGUCUAAGAUUGGGUAUGUGAUGGAGCCACAAAGAUGAGGCCACAAAGGGGACUCCAUUUUGGCUCAGGGCAUUUGUCAGCAACUCCUGGGUGGGAGUGGGUGGUACUGGGAGCUGGGGGAUGGGUGGGGCCACCAUAGAGCAGGCGGGUCUCCGUCCUGUGCUUCUCCAAGUGCGGGCGGCCGUCACACACCCCGUGAAGCCUGGGCACUGGACACACUGUGAGCCUCGGCACAGGCCGGCAGGUGAUGUAUCAGCAACCUGAGAAUGUGUGUGGCCCCGAUCGGAACCAGGGCAGCAUUGGAAGGAAGUGCACAUCGGUGAGGGGCUCGGCCUCUGCGGUGGCUGUGGGGGCGCCGAACAACACCUGAAUGGACUUUAUCCUGAAGCCAGUGUGUGUAACUCCUGCGAUUAGCUAACCAGGUGACUCAUUGCUUACACUUCCUGAGUCCUCAACCUUUUUUUUUUUUUCCCAGGAAGAUCCCCAUAAACUGGUCAUAAAAUAUGCCGCGUGCGGUGCCAAAUGCCUCUGCAGAUACUUGACUCCAUUCUGCAUGUUCAGAUGGCUCACCAGGCCGCCGUCACCUUCCGCUGACUCUGCUCACCUCGUGGGGUUCACCCGUGGCCGCAGCCUUUCUCCCUGACCCAGCUCGAUCUACAGGCUAGACUUUGUUCUUUUGCCCAUCCACAAACACCUUUACUCACUCACCCCUGCCCCAGCCGUUACUGAGCACUACCGAGCCAGACCCCCUCCCCACCCCCAGGUAUAUAAACCUAACUGAGGCAUAGACCCCACCUUCGAGGGCUUGUGACAGCCAACCACAGGGAGGGAGCUAAGUGCUCUGAAAGAACAAAUCCCUGGGCCCUCAGCACGGUUAUCCAUACAGACUUGCUCAGCAACUUUCAUAGAGAAAAUGCAGUAGCAUCUGGCCUGUCAUCAGCGAGUAAUAAAAUACUUAUUAUACUUAUAAAUACACUCAGCCCCACUGAGGAUUUUCCAGGACAAGUGCUAUCUAGAUGUGCCCUUAUUAUGAUCUAAAACACCUAAUGACCGCACAGGCUGAUGCAAACAUAAUGAUAUUAGUUAUUUGGUUAAAACGUGGCCCUGUGCAAGAUUUUUGUAGACCAGCUGUGCGGUGCAAACAGAACUUUCUUUUGAAGCCAUGUUUUGGGUAGCCCAGUGAAUUAGGAAUACUGGAAUCAAGAUCAAGUGAAGAAUGGGAACCUAUCCCAGGUGCGUCUCCCACAACGCACCUCACCUGGGUAAACACACAUUUGCAUAUCAAUGUAUGGAUUACAGACUUCCUUUUCUGAGACCUAGGAGGUGCCCCGUUCCGCACGCAGGGGGUCCAACAGCCAACCGACUCUCUCAAACCCGGUGCAAUAUGAGAACCAAGACUCAGGUCUUCAGAGCCCCAGGGGCCAGUCCUACGGAGCAGUCCUUCGCUCUGCUUUCCCUAAAAGGAGGGGAUUCUGCUUUGUAACUCACCCUGCCUUCACAUGUGGGCCUGGCCUCCGGUCUCACAGGCUGCGCUGGCUUCUGCACGAGCCGGCCGGAUUUUGAAAUUACCUUUGGAGCCAGCCGUUAUAAAAAGCCCGGUACUCAGAGGGGAAGAAAGGUAGUUUUGAUGGUAGCUGAUGAGCUCACCGGGUACGGAUGGAACUUUUCAAACAGGCCAAAUUAAAGAGCAGGCCUUGAGCCUGGGGCCUCACAGUGCUGCUGCGAGGAGCAGGUGGGAAGAGUAUCAGAUGUGUGAAGUACAGGUGACAGGUAACCCGAUCGCUGUGGCUGAGUCGCUGUGUGUGAGGCAUGGCGGGAGGCGGUGCCCGUGGGGGCAAAGCCUCGCCCCUCUCAUCUGUCUGCAGAGGGGCCAACAGGUUAACCCAAGCCUGUUCCUGCAGGGCUGACAGUGGCUGGUUGCAGCCGAUGAAAGUGGAUGUAAAUCAGUGCGGUUUCCCCCGGCGGCAGUAAUGAACCCAGGGAACCUCGCUGGAAGCAGGUAGUUUUAGGAGAAUGGCGCUGGAGAUGCUGGAGGGAGAUUAGUGUUUCUCAGCUCUUGUAGCAAUUUGCACAUUUCAGUGUGCAUUCAGCUCCACCUCAUUCACAUUAAAAAAAAAAAAACAAACCUCAUAAAUUAAAUUGCUAGGCAGGGAAAAUCGACUUUGUUUCGAUAGAGGGCCUGGGAUGCUGGUCUGCUCCGAGGCAGAGUGGGGAGGCCUGGCUCCCAGCUGGUGUCCUCAGUUUGCUGGCCUCACCGACUUCUAGAACACGUCCACCUCAAGGACCUGUGGUUCUACUCACUUUAACGAAUCAGAGGACUUCCCGAGUUCUGGGAAGGCAUCUCGUCCGUCUGCCUGAGCGGCAGCUGGUGGAUGACAUGUGAUCCUCCUUUCCAGUUGCUUGGGGUACAGGACUGGCUCCUCGAGGCCCUCUGCAUGCGGGCAGCUGGCCCAGGAUUACAGGCGGUGGGGUUAUGUGGGGGGACUAUGUGGCCCAGUGAACGAGUGCUCUGAGAGUGGCCCCUUUGUUUUGGUCAUUUUGGUCCCAGCGUCUAGGAUGAGGUGCUCAAGACCCAAGAACCAUCUGUGGAAAGAGGGAGGAAAUAACAGGAGGAAGAAACCGAAACCUACCAGCCCUCAGCUUAAGUCCAGUUCUCUGUAGCUUUGCUCAUUUCCAUCAAGCACCGGGAUGUGUCUUUAAUGGACCGAGUAAGAAGGCACCAUCUGUGAACUGGGAGGCAGACUUUCACCAGACGCUGAGUCUACUGGUGCCUUGAUCUUGGAUUUCCCAGCUUCCAGAACUGUGGGAAAUAAAUGUUUGUGGUUAAUAAGCCUCCUAGUCUAUGGUACUUUUGUUAUAACAGCCUGAAUGGACUAAGCCACAGCCCUGCCAGACUAAUACCAUAACUUUAGUUCCAAAGCAGAUUAAAAUGAAAUCCCUCAGAGAUCGUUAAGUGUGUGUGUGUGCGUGUGUGUGUGUGUGUGUAGUAUAAACAUGUGGCAGCAACACCUCUGUGUCAUAUGCACAGACAUCCUUUGUCACCCACUAAGCACUCUGGGGAAGGACUCAGAUAAAAUGAAGAGCUUUGAGUUCCAAGUUCUGUCUCUGGCCUUGGAAUGUUCAAAGGCCUUCCCAGCUGUUCUGUGUUCAAGGGUGGCUUUCAAGAGCUGGGAGGGUGGUUGGAGCUACUCCUGGGUUUCUCUGAGCCCCUCAAAGAACACUCUGAGUGCAUGAGAAACCGUCUCCACACUACCUGCAGCGGAUGCCAUGGUGCUGAGGAACAGUGGCAAAGCACGAAUUAAAAAGAAGGAUUCUGAGCUCAGAAGUAAACCCUCACGUAUGUGGUCAACUAAUAUUUGAUGAGGGAGCCAAGAACACCCAAUGGGGAAAGGAUCGUCUUCAACAGAUGGUGUUGGGAAUACUGGAUAAACACAUGCAGAAAGAUGAAAUUGGACUUCCGUCUUCCACUACACACAGAAAUUAACUUGAAAUGGAUCAGAAGACCCAAAACUGUAAAAUUCCUGGAAGAAAACAUAGGGGAGAAACUCCUUGACAUUGAUCUUGCCAAUACUUUUUUGGAUAUGCAGAAAUGCAAAAAAAAAAAAAAAAAAAAAAAAAAAGCAAAAAUCAACAAGUAGGACUGCCUCAAACUUAAAAGCU